rnacentral:tmRNA from 1 species
GGGGGUGUCAUGGUCUCGACGUGGGUCGUGAAACCUGAGGUGCAUGCCGAGGACGUCAUCUCACCUCGUAAAACAUGAUGGCCAACUUAAAAUAGUUGCCAACGACGAAAACUACGCUCUAGCGGCCUAAAUCCCGCUAGCCCCCGACCGGCAAGUGCCUGUGCUUCCGACUCGGGGGUCGUAGCUCACAGGACCGCAGCGAGGGGGUUCCGCCUGCACCCCACGCUGUUAAAUCAAUCAGGCUAGUUGAGCGUGUUCCGCUGCCUGCCGGGAAGCGCUCGGCGAAUGCAAUAGGCGGGCUAAGCAUGUAGAUCCGACGGUGGAUCUCCCGCGGACGGGGGUUCGAAUCCCCCCACCUCCACCA